rnacentral:rRNA from 1 species
UACGAAGGGGGCUAGCGUUGUUCGGAAUUACUGGGCGUAAAGCGCGCGCAGGCGGCUUGGUAAGUUGGGGGUGAAAUCCCUGGGCUCAACCCAGGAAUGGCCUUCAAGACUGCUUGGCUGGAGGACGAGAGAGGUGAGUGGAAUUCCCAGUGUAGAGGUGAAAUUCGUAGAUAUUGGGAAGAACACCGGUGGCGAAGGCGGCGAGCUGGCCUGUACCUGACGCUGAGGCGCGACAGCGUGGGGAGCAAACAGG